rnacentral:tRNA from 1 species
UCCCUGAUGGUCCAGUGGUUAGGACUCCAUGCUUACACUGCCAAGCACCCAGGUUUGAUUUCUGGUCAGGGAA